AUACUACUACUACUACUACUACUACUACUACUAAUAUUAAUAAUGUAUAUUCAAAAAAUUGGAACCUAUCGUUUAAAAAUAACGAAAAUGGUGAUGUAAAACAACAAUAUAAUAAAACAGAAAAGGAGCUAUUUUUAUAUGGUAAUAAUUUUUUUUCUAACACUGAACAUGAAAAUACAAAUUCAUCUAAUUUUGUAAACCCAAAUUUAAAAGAUUUGAACUUACAAAACGUUUUAGUAAGUAAUAAUAUAGAUAACACACUGGACAUUUUUUUAAGUGGUUUACGUAAUAGUUUCUAUUUACACAAAAAUGUAAAACAAUCAGAUGGGUAUAACAGAAUGAGUAAUUAUGGACAUAGUAGAAGUAUAAACAGUUUAAGAAACAUUGAAUUAGAAAAUGACAUAUGUACGAAUAAGUUCAUAGGAGCACCCUUUGAAAAUAAACACACCGACAUACAUACAUAUCAACAUCCGAACAUCCACACAUAUCAACAUACAGAAAUGUACCCAUAUCAACAUGAUACUCACCAACACCAAGAUAUAUAUACUACAUAUCAACAUACAGACUUAAACACCCAUCAACAUAUAGAUAUGUACACAUAUCAACAUACAAACAAUUUCACAAAUAAGCAUACUGAUACGAUACCAGAGGUAAGAAAUUAUAUAUAUGACAGCGCAGUUCACGAAAUCAUAUAUAAAAUACGAAUUCAUAGCAAUAAAAUUUUUACAGAUGUAUUCAUGAAUAGUGAUUCAAAUAAAAAAAAAAAACUAAACGAACUAAAUAAAUAUUUAUCCAUAAUAAUACCAAGAAAUGAUAUAAAUUUUUUUAUCGGUUUGAGUAAAUUUUAUGAAUUCUUUAAUAUAUUAUUUAAUUCAAAUUAUAUAUAUAAAUAUAAUUCAUAUAUUUUGUAUAAUUUAUGUGUCGUAAUUAAAAAUUUGUUACAACUAUUAAAUAUAGGCAAAUAUAUUUUUUAUAUAAUCAAAACAUGUAUGCAGUGUAUAGUUAAAUUAAUUGUUAUAAAACCUGUAUCUAUAACAGAUAAAGCUUGGUUUGUUUUAUUAAAUGUGUACAAAUGUUUGUUUCAAAAGUUAUAUGAAUAUUUUAAAGAAGACAUCGUUAACUCGACUUAUAUUAAUAACAAAAUUGGUACAAAUAAUAGCCGUACAACAACCAGAGAUGACGUAGGUAGACGUUCCUUACAAAAUAAUAAUAAUAAUAAUAAUAAUAAUAAUAAUAAUAAUAACAGCACUAUAAAAAUUAUUCUUUCCUUUAUUAACAUGUUUAACGAUACCAUAUUAGAAUAUUCUAAAAUAAGAAUGAUAUACAGAAAUAAAAAAAUAGAAGAAUUAAUAGCUUUUCCAUUAUAUGAAACAUUAAAGCCAUUUUUUUUUAUGAAUACAUCAUAUGGAAAUGAUGGUAUGACAAAUAAAAAUGAAGAUAAUACAAGCAGUGAUGAAGAAACAAUAGAUUAUUACAGAGAAGACGGAACAACAUCCAUAGCGACAAAAACAGAAGAGGACACUGAUAUGGAAGCUGGAGAAAAAGAAAAAAACAAAAUUAGUAACAGAGGAGAUAGUAAAAAACGGUAAUAUUGAUGAAAAUAAAAACAGUAGACAAACUGAUUUAAAGAGCA
ensembl:lncRNA